UACGAAGGGGGCUAGCGUUGCUCGGAAUCACUGGGCGUAAAGCGCGCGUAGGCGGCUUCUUAAGUCGGGGGUGAAAUCCUGGAGCUCAACUCCAGAACUGCCUUCGAUACUGCGGAGCUUGAGUCCGGGAGAGGUGAGUGGAACUGCGAGUGUAGAGGUGAAAUUCGUAGAUAUUCGCAAGAACACCAGUGGCGAAGGCGGCUCACUGGCCCGGUACUGACGCUGAGGUGCGAAAGCGUGGGGAGCAAACAGG
rnacentral:rRNA from 1 species